UACGUAGGGUGCGAGCGUUGUCCGGAAUUAUUGGGCGUAAAGGGCUCGUAGGCGGUUUGUCACGUCGGGAGUGAAAACUCAGGGCUUAACCCUGAGCCUGCUUCCGAUACGGGCAGACUAGAGGUAUGCAGGGGAGAAUGGAAUUCCUGGUGUAGCGGUGAAAUGCGCAGAUAUCAGGAGGAACACCGGUGGCGAAGGCGGUUCUCUGGGCAUUACCUGACGCUGAGGAGCGAAAGCGUGGGGAGCGAACAGG
rnacentral:rRNA from 1 species